rnacentral:lncRNA from 1 species
GAACGAAAGGUGGGCAGGCAGGGCAGAAAGUAGCAAAUUUCUCCUCAGGAAACAGAGGAAAAGGAGACAGACAAAAGAUGCUGCAGCCAAAAAUGCCUACUUUGCCCUGAAUAAGAGACAGACAAAAGAUGCUGCAGCCAAAAACACCUAGUUUGCCCUGAAGAAGAUAAAUGCCCUCGAGCCCUGGAUGCAGUGGCCCUUAGAAAGAGACUAAAUUAGUCUGAAAG